rnacentral:lncRNA from 1 species
AAAAAUAAAUUGAUUUAUUUUUCUUGUCUAUUGUUAGAAAUAAAUGUGAUAUUUCUACUUUUAGUAAAAUUUUGAUAUUUCUUUCUACUGUUUUGAAUAUUUAGACAUUGUAAAAUUCAUGUGCAAAUGACUGCCUUAUUAUUUAAAAAUUGACAUUUUUGCAAUUGAUUAUAGUAUUGUUGUGAAAUGUUUAUUUGUGGAUUGAUAUCCCAUAAAUUGUGAUAAUUCUGUAUUCUUGAAUUUCUAUAAGAGUUUUUCUAUACAUAUUAAAUUGGCAAUUAUGCUAGAAUGCCUUUACGAACUGCUACCUUUCUAAAUUUGAGCCCAAAAUAUUUGAUUGGUUAUUUUUGAAAUGUUAUAGAGAGUGACUGUUAUUAAUGGUUUAAGUGAAAUUCAUAUUAAUGAUUUCAGUGAUAUGUUGAGUACGAUAUUGCUGCUUUCGAAUGUUUAAAGAGAUUUAGAAAUAAUUUAA